CACAAGAGACUUGAACGUAUUUUGCCAUCCCUUGUCAUCCACAAAGAUUACACUGAAAAAAAAAAGUGGGAGUUAAACAUCAUUCUAAACAAGACAUCUUUGUCAACCUCGUAUCACACAUAUAGCUCCCAUGAUCACCUUCCCUCUCUCUACUUUCUAUCUCACAGGGGUUUUUCUUUUUCCCUUAAUACUCCAAAAUCCACUUUCUAAAUCUUAAAAUUCCGAACUUUAGCUAAUUGAAAACCAAAAUGUCACAUCUUUCCCAUGCCCUUUUUAACAAAGGAGAUCGACUUGAGGUCCUUAAAAGAGAAAAUGGUCCCAGCACUUCAACUUACUAUCCAGCUACAGUUGUUAAAUCAAAUAAAAAUCAAGUCUUUAUUGAGUACCAAACCUUGAUGGUUGAAUCAAAUUCAAAAGGUCCAAAACGCCUCAGUGAAUUUGUUGAUUUGGGGUUUGUAAGGCCAAACCCUUCCAAGAGGAAACAACGAGCCCUUUAAAGUGAACGAGAAAGUUGAUGUUUACUGUGAUAAUGGGUCGCAUAAAGGGACUGUUAAGGAUAUUUUAGAGAAUUCGAGGUAUGCUGUUGGUUUUGAUGGUGAAUGUAGCGAAGGUAUUGUUUCUGAACAAUGUAAUUUAAGGCUUCAUCGUGAAUGGGAUGAAGGGUCUUGGAUCCCGCCUCUGCUUGAUCAGAGAAAUAUUUCUGGGAUGGGGUGAAAUCGAGAAAGAUAAUGUUGAAGAUAAAAUGCAGACUGAAAAAACCCGAUCCUGUAGGAAAGGCUGGAGAUAAAAUGCAACAAAUAUUUAGGGAUGGGACAUUGGUGGAGGUCAAGAGUGAUGAAGAAGGUUACGAUGGUUCUUGGUUUGGUGCAAUUAUUGUUUGGUGCAAUACCUGAACCUUGUCACCGAAGAUGAAACUGCACCCCUGAGAGAAAUAGUGACUGAACAGAAUAUCAGACCUAAUCCACCCGAAGUUCAGGAUGUCAUCAAAUUUAAACUGCAUGAAAAGGUUGACGCAUGGUUCAAUGAGGGGUGGUGGGAGGGUGUGGUCUCUUCAGUGCUGAGUGGGUUUAAGUAUAUGGUCCAUUUCAACUCUACAAAUACACUAUGGAAUUUGAACAUGCUAGGUUGAGACCUCAUCAAGAUUGGAUUAAUGGAAAAUGGAUCAAGGAAGAGUCAAUUGUGUUGGAGGGUAAUGGAAGGACUCCAAAACCCAAGUUCAGCAAGGGAACAAGGGUGGAGGUCAAAAGUGAAGAAGUUGGUUUCCAGGGUUCUUGGUACUCUGCAACCAUUGUGGAAGUGAUGGAGAAUGACAAAUUUCUGGUUCAAUAUCACAACCUUGUAACAGAUGAUGAAACUGGUUCCCUUAGACAUAAGGCCUUCACACCCUCGUAUUCAACGUGCCUACGCUUUUGAAUUGUCUGAAAUAGUUGAUGCUUGGUAUAAUGAUGGAUGGUGGAUGGGCUGUAUUGUCAAAGUUCAUAAUAAACUGAAGUACACAGUGCACUUCAAAACAACAGAGGAAUUGGAGUUUGAACUUUGCGAGCUGAGGCCUCAUCAAGAAUGGAUUGAUAGAAAUUGGUUCACUGUUCCAAAGAUAUGCAGUUUGUACCUACACUAACGCAAGACCCAUACAAUGACAUGGCUUAUGGCAUACACAAUCCUGCUUCCCACUUUAUAAACAUGCAAAAUCAUGUCUUCCACUUGGAAUUCUCGCUUGUAUAUGGCUCCAAACAUAACCAACAAUACUGUUUGACAUCUCCUUUGAGCACUAUGGUUGUGUAUGACCUUUAUCGGAUUCUAAAAUCAAGUAGGAAUUGAUCAUAAAAUCUCAGGGAAAGCUGGAAGUUAAGGAUGUAUGAAAUGCCUUUGGAAUGUACAGGUUUAUACUUGAAUAGUUUGGAUGAACUCUCUGACACAUGCCAAGGAUAUGUUAUUUAUUCGUUACUCAAUUUGCUGUAUUUUUCCUCUGCUACGUAGGUGUGUAAAAGAUUCCCUUGUUUCACUAACCUAACUAUUGCCACAAUUGAUGCUGUUUGGACCUCCCAUUGCCUGAUCUGUUUGGUUUUUGCUGCACUUGUCAAAUGCCUCCUUUUUCUCUUCUGGUUGCAGAAUUGGUGCUUCUGAUCCCCGGAUUCUGUGGCUGGAUUCAGUCCAAAAUCGAAAUGUCUUCUGCCAGAACAUGCUUUUAAGCUUCUAUGCAAUCACUGCUUCCAUCUUGAUUGGGGCUUUAAUGUAUUAUAAGGUUAACUGUCAUGCACUUUGGAUGUUUUGGUCACUGUCCUUAAAGCCCAGUUGCCAGGUAACAAUGCCAAGUGCCAACUGUUUUAUACUUAAGGAGACUGCACUGACAUUGAUUAUGUAAAAUGCUAAUGAUAGCUAUAUCUCUGCUUGAACAUAUUAUUACUUAGUUCAACUCUAGGCUGCCAUUAUAUUUGACA